rnacentral:tRNA from 1 species
GCGCGACGGGGCGGCCGGAGCGCGUGGCCUUCGAACAGCCGCGGGCCGUGGGCCGUUCGGUUCGGCCGUAGCGGCCC